rnacentral:rRNA from 1 species
AAUCAACGCUGGCGGCGUGCCUAACACAUGCAAGUCGCACGAGAAAGGGACUUCGGUCCUGAGUACAGUGGCGCACGGGUGAGUAACACGUGAAUAAUCUACCUCCGAGUGGGGAAUAACUGAGAGAAAUCUUAGCUAAUACCGCAUAACACUUACGAGUCAAAGCAGCAAUGCGCUUGGAGAGGAGUUCGCGGCAGAUUAGUUAGUUGGCAGGGUAAUGGCCUACCAAGACGAUGAUCUGUAUCCGGCCUGAGAGGGCGCACGGACACACUGGAACUGAAACACGGUCCAGACUCCUACGGGAGGCAGCAGUGGGGAAUUUUGCGCAAUGGGGGAAACCCUGACGCAGCAACGCCGCGUGGAGGAUGAAAUCCCUUGGGAUGUAAACUCCUUCGAUCGGGAAGAUAAUGACGGUACCGAGAGAAGAAGCCCCGGCUAACUU